UGUAGACACCUGUGGACCACUGUAGACCCCUGUAGAACAUGUAGAGCACUAUAGGUCACUGUAGACCACUGUAGGUCACUGUAGACCACUGUAUGUAGACCACUAUAUACGACUGUAGACCCCUGUAGAACAUGUAGACCAUUGUAGGUCACUGUAGACGACUGUGGUCACUGUAGACCCCUGUAGACCACUGUGGUCACUGUGAACCACUGUAGAUCACUGUAGACCCCUGUAGACCACUGUAGACCCCUGUAGAUCACUUUAGACCCAUGUAGACCCCUGUAGAACAUGUAGAGCACUGUAGACCCUUGUAGACCACUGUAGGUCACUGUAGACUACUGUAGGUCACUAUAGACUACUGUAUGUAGACCACUGACUGUAGACGGCUGUAAGUCACUGUAGGUCACUGUAGACCACUGUAGAUCAUUGUAGGUCACUGUAGACCACUGACUGUAGACGGCUGUAAGUCACUGUAGGUCACUGUAGACCACUGUAGAUCAUUGUAGGUCACUGUAGACCACUGUAUGCAGAUCCCUGUAGACCACUGUAGACCACUGUAGACAACUGUAGAAGACUGUAGAUCACUGUAGACCACUGUAUGUAGACCACUGACUGUAGACGGCUGUAAGUCACUGUAGGUCACUGUAGACCACUGAAGAUCAUUGUAGGUCACUGUAGACCACUGUUUGUAGACGACUGUAAGUCACUGUAGACCACUAAAGAUCAUUGUAGGUGACUGUAGACCACUGACUGUAGACGGCUGUAAGUCACUGUAGGUCACUGUAGACCACUGAAGAUCAUUGUAGGUCACUGUAGACUACUGACUGUAGACGGCUGUAAGUCACUGUAGGUCACUGUAGACCACUGAAGAUCAUUGUAGGUCACUGUAGACUACUGACUGUAGACGGCUUUAAGUCACUGUAGGUCACUGUAGAUCAUUGUAGGUCACUGUAGACCACUGUUUGUAGAUCCCUGUAGACCACUGUAGAGCCCUGUAGACCACUGUAGGUCACUGUAGACAACUGUAGGUCACUGUGAACCAUUGUAGGUCUCUGUAGGUCACUGUAGACCACUGUAUGUAGACCACUAUAUACGACUGUAGGUCACUAUAGACCCCUGUAGACCACUGUAGGUCACUGUAGAUGACUGUAGGUCACUAUAGACCCCUGUAGACCACUGUGGUCACCGUGAACCACUGUAGAUCACUGUAGACCCCUGUAGACCACUGUAGACCCCUGUAGAUCACUGUAGACCCCUGUAGACCACUGUAGACCGCUGUAAAACAUGUUGGUCACUGUAGACCCUUGUAGACAACUGUAGGUCACUGUAGGUCACUGUAGACCACUGUAGAUCACUGUGGUCACCGUGAACCACUGUAGAUCACUGUAGACCCCUGUAGACCACUGUAGACCGCUGUAAAACAUGUUGGUCACUGUAGACCCUUGUAGACAACUGUAGGUCACUGUAGGUCACUGUAGACCACUGUAGAUCACUGUGGUCACCGUGAACCACUGUAGAUCACUGUAGACCCCUGUAGACCAUUAUAGACCCCUGUAGACCACUGUAGACCGCUGUAAAACAUGUUGGUCACUGUAGACCCUUGUAGACAACUGUAGGUCACUGUAGACCACUGUAUCACUGACUGUAGACGGCUGUAAGUCACUGUAGGUCACUGUAGACCACAGUAGAUCACUGUAGAAAACUGUAGACCACUGUAAAUCACUGCAGACCACUGCAGAUCACAGCAGACCAGAUGGUUUAGAGUUUUUAAACCUUAAUCACAAUUCAGGACAUGAAGCACAUGGGUAAAAUGUGAAGAGUGAGGGACCAAGAAAUUGUAAUCAUAAUGAACCAGGAAAAGCGCAAUACUCAUAAUACAAUAAUAAGAAAUAAUAGUGAUGUUUCUUGAAAAAGUAUUUAGUCAGAAUAUAUGGCUAUUUCUGAAUGACUUUCAGUAGAGAAAGAUGCAGUUUACCACCAGAGUCUACCUGACCCAUGUUAACUAGCAGCAAAACCACUCUUUUAAACCUUUGGAGUUAACAGGGAAUCUCAGAUUGAUAAGAUGUCAGUUUAACAUGCAUUCUAAAUCAUUACGUCUUUUAGAGACAUCUUCUAAACGUCUAUUUGACA